AUAUUUCUUCGGGGCAGGGUGCGAUUCCCGACCGACGGUGACAAGCGAGUCUUGAAGUCCGUGACCCACUAUUCAAGUGUGGUUGAUCUAGUGAGAAUCUAGAACCGACAGUUAAAGUCUGGAUGGGAGAAGAAAAGA
rnacentral:ncRNA from 2 species